AUACGUAGGGGGCAAGCGUUAUCCGGAAUUAUUGGGCGUAAAGAGUACGUAGGCGGUUUCUUAAGCGUGGGGUGAAAGGCUAUGGCUUAACCAUAGUAAGCCUUGCGAACUGAGAGACUUGAGUGCAGGAGAGGAAAGCGGAAUUCCUAGUGUAGCGGUGAAAUGCGUAGAUAUUAGGAGGAACACCAGUGGCGAAGGCGGCUUUCUGGACUGUAACUGACGCUGAGGUACGAAAGCGUGGGGAGC
rnacentral:rRNA from 1 species